rnacentral:rRNA from 1 species
GUGAGGGGAGUGAAAUAGAUCCUGAAACCGCAUGCAUACAAGCAGUGGGAGCACCUUCGUGGUGUGACUGCGUACCUUUUGUAUAAUGGGUCAGCGACUUAUAUUCAGUAGCGAGGUUAACCGUAUAGGGGAGCCGUAGAGAAAUCGAGUCUUAAUAGGGCGUUUAGUUGCUGGGUAUAGACCCGAAACCAGGCGAUCUAUCCAUGAGCAGGUUGAAGGUUGGGUAACACUAACUGGAGGACCGAACCCACUGUCGUUGAAAAGCCAGGGGAUGACUUGUGGAUAGGGGUGAAAGGCUAAUCAAGCCUGGUGAUAGCUGGUUCUCCCCGAAAGCUAUUUAGGUAGCGCCUCGGACGAAUACCAUAGGGGGUAGAGCACUGUUUCGGCUAGGGGGUCAUCCCGACUUACCAAACCGAUGCAAACUCCGAAUACCUAUGAGUACUAUCCGGGAGACAGACUGCGGGUGCUAACGUCCGUAGUCAAGAGGAAAACAAUCCAGACCGCCAGCUAAGGCCCCAAAAUCAUAGUUAAGUGGGAAACGAUGUGGGAAGGCAUAGACAGCUAGGAGGUUGGCUUAGAAGCAGCCACCCUUUAAAGAAAGCGUAAUAGCUCACUAGUCGAGUCGGCCUGCGCGGAAGAUGUAACGGGGCUAAAACUAUGUGCCGAAGCUGCGGAUGUAUACUUUGUAUACGUGGUAGGGGAGCGUUCUGUAAGCCGAUGAAGGUGUGUUGAGAAGCAUGCUGGAGGUAUCAGAAGUGCGAAUGCUGACGUGAGUAACGACAAAACGGGUGAAAAACCCGUUCGCCGAAAGACCAAGGGUUCCAGUCCAACGUUAAUCGGGGCUGGGUGAGUCGACCCCUAAGGCGAGGCCGAAAGGCGUAGUCGAUGGGAAAAUGGUUAAUAUUCCAUUACUUCUGUGUAAUGCGAUGAGAGGACGGAGAAGGCUAAAUCAGCCUGGCGUUGGUUGUCCAGGUGAAAGGAUGUAGGCAUGUAUCUUAGGCAAAUCCGGGGUACUCUAUGCUGAGAUCUGAUAGCAAGCUGUACUUGUACAGCGAAGUGGUUGAUGCCAUGCUUCCAGGAAAAGUCUCUAAGCUUCAGUUACACAGGAAUCGUACCCGAAACCGACACAGGUGGUCAGGUCGAGUAGACCAAGGCGCUUGAGAGAACUCUGCUGAAGGAACUAGGCAAAAUGGUACCGUAACUUCGGGAGAAGGUACGCUGUUGUUGGUGAUGGAACUCGCUUCCUGAGCUGACGACAGCCGCAGAAACCAGGCCGCUGCAACUGUUUAUUAAAAACAUAGCACUCUGCAAACACGAAAGUGGACGUAUAGGGUGUGAUGCCUGCCCGGUGCUGGAAGGUUAAUUGAUGGGGUUAGCGUAAGCGAAGCUCUUGAUCGAAGCCCCAGUAAACGGCGGCCGUAACUAUAACGGUCCUAAGGUAGCGAAAUUCCUUGUCGGGUAAGUUCCGACCUGCACGAAUGGCAUAAUGAUGGCGGCGCUGUCUCCAGCAGAGGCUCAGUGAAAUCGAAAUCGCUGUGAAGAUGCAGUGUACCCGCGGCUAGACGGAAAGACCCCGUGAACCUUUACUGCAGCUUGACACUGAACUUUGACCUUACUUGUGUAGGAUAGGUGGGAGGCUUUGAAGCUGGAACGCUAGUUCCAGUGGAGCCGUCCUUGAAAUACCACCCUGGUAAUGUUGAGGUUCUAACUCUGUCCCGUGAUCCGGGACGAGGACCGUGUCUGGUGGGUAGUUUGACUGGGGCGGUCUCCUCCUAAAGAGUAACGGAGGAGUACGAAGGUGCGCUCAGCGUGGUCGGAAAUCACGCGUAGAGUAUAAAGGCAAAAGCGCGCUUAACUGCGAGACCCACAAGUCGAGCAGGUACGAAAGUAGGUCUUAGUGAUCCGGUGGUUCUGUAUGGAAGGGCCAUCGCUCAACGGAUAAAAGGUACUCUGGGGAUAACAGGCUGAUACCGCCCAAGAGUUCAUAUCGACGGCGGUGUUUGGCACCUCGAUGUCGGCUCAUCUCAUCCUGGGGCUGAAGCAGGUCCCAAGGGUAUGGCUGUUCGCCAUUUAAAGAGGUACGCGAGCUGGGUUUAGAACGUCGUGAGACAGUUCGGUCCCUAUCUACCGUGGGCGCUGGAAAUUUGAGAGGAUCUGCUCCUAGUACGAGAGGACCAGAGUGGACGAACCUCUGGUGUACCGGUUGUGACGCCAGUCGCAUCGCCGGGUAGCUAUGUUCGGAAGGGAUAACCGCUGAAAGCAUCUAAGCGGGAAGCCUACCUCAAGAUAAGAUUUCCCUAGGACUUUAUGUCCUCUAAAGAGCCGUUCGAGACUAGGACGUUGAUAGGUUGGAUGUGGAAGCAUAGUGAUAUGUGAAGCUGACCAAUACUAAUUGCUCGUGAGGCUUGACUAUACAACACCCAAGCAGUUG